UGGGGAAUCUUCCGCAAUGGACGAAAGUCUGACGGAGCAACGCCGCGUGAGUGAUGACGGCCUUCGGGUUGUAAAGCUCUGUUAAUCGGGACGAAUGGUUCUUGUGCGAAUAGUGCGAGGAUUUGACGGUACCGGAAUAGAAAGCCACGGCUAACUACGUGCCAGCAGCCGCGGUAAUACGUAGGUGGCAAGCGUUGUCCGGAAUUAUUGGGCGUAAAGCGCGCGCAGGCGGAUCAGUUAGUCUGUCUUAAAAGUUCGGGGCUUAACCCCGUGAUGGGAUGGAAACUGCUGAUCUAGAGUAUCGGAGAGGAAAGUGGAAUUCCUAGUGUAGCGGUGAAAUGCGUAGAUAUUAGGAAGAACACCAGUGGCGAAGGCGACUUUCUGGACGAAAACUGACGCUGAGGCGCGAAAGCCAGGGGAGCGAACG
rnacentral:rRNA from 1 species